UACGAAGGGGGCUAGCGCUGUUCGGAAUUACUGGGCGUAAAGCGCGCGCAGGCGGUCUUCCAAGUCAGUGGUGAAAGCCUGGAGCUCAACUCCAGAACUGCCAUUGAAACUGUUAGACUUGAGUACGAGAGAGGUGAGUGGAAUUCCCAGUGUAGAGGUGAAAUUCGUAGAUAUUGGGAAGAACACCGGUGGCGAAGGCGGCUCUCUGGACCGAUACUGACGCUGAGGCGCGAAAGCGUGGGGAGCAAACAGG
rnacentral:rRNA from 1 species